rnacentral:rRNA from 1 species
UACGUAUGGUGCAAGCGUUGUCCGGAAUUAUUGGGCGUAAAGAGCUCGUAGGCGGUCUGUCGCGUCGGCUGUGAAAUCCCGAGGCUCAACCUCGGGUCUGCAGUCGAUACGGGCAAACUAGAGUAUUGCAGGGGAGACUGGAAUUCCUGGUGUAGCGGUGAAAUGCGCAGAUAUCAGGAGGAACACCGGUGGCGAAGGCGGUUCUCUGGGCAUUACCUGACGCUGAGGAGCGAAAGUGUGGGGAGCGAACAGG